rnacentral:lncRNA from 1 species
GAGGCACCUUCAGGCGGGGUAAUAUUUCUUUCCCGUUAGGCCCGUGCGGCCCGCGGACGCUCCCUUGCCGCCGAGGCAGCCCAGCUCCACGCGCGCCGCCGCGUCCCUCCUUCCGCGGGGUUUGUCCUUCGGCUGCGCGGUUGGCAUUUUGUAAAAAUAGCUGAUCAACUGCAGCCCAUCCAGUUCUAAAAACGUGCCGGGAACAGUGCCCCGUGUCCACCCUAUGGGGGGGGGCCACACCUGCUCCUGGGACAUUCCGGGACACGCGCUGCUCCACGGAGAACAGAAGGAGCGAUUGUUCCGCGAGCGCGCUUGGAGGGACAGCUGGGGCGCGGGCCCCCGCCAGCCAGGUCGCCUGUCCCUGACCAGCCGGCCGGAGAGACGGAGAAACCCACCAGCCGGCGCCAAGCCCUUUGCCGUCGGGGAAGCUGGGUUCCAGAAUCGGAGCUCGCAGGCGCGUGCUCUCCCGCCUAGGGAGAUCCAGCUCUCAGCUUCAGGGGCCUUUCCAGAGACGACAGAAGAGGCGGAAGCGUGUGGUGGGAAGAACGGACCUCGACGGCUCUGAGGUUUGGAGAAGGCCUCUCUAAGCUUGCACCCCCUGCGCGCUGGCAUGCCCGCUCAGCCUUUACCAGCUGGGUGUCCGGGGCCACUCACCCAGGCCCGCUACACCACGGAUCUUCCUCUGUGGAAGGAGGAGAAAACAGGGCAUUUCCCCGUGUUCUUCAGUAACAAGAAGACCUUGAUUAUGUCGUUUAACCAAUCCAUGCUCAUCUGUGUGUCUUUCUGAACACUGGAGGAACAAUUGAGUUUGUUUUUGGCAUUAGAUGAUAAAAAAGUGGACAGAACUUUAAAAAAAAUUUUUUUUAAGAUUUGUUUUAUUUAUGUAUUUGUUUCUCCCCACCCUCUCUUUGUUUGCACUUGCUGUGUCUGUUUGGCUUCCUUGUUUCUUUAGGAGGCACCAGAAACUGAACCCGGGACCUUCAAUGAGGGAGAGAGGCACCCAAUUGCUUAAGCCAGUUCCCUGCUUUGUUGUUUCUCUCGCUAUGUUUUCCCCCUUGUGUCUCAUGUCCUGUCAUCUUGUCCCAUCAACUCGCCAUGCUUCCCCAUUGUGCCAGCUCCCUGUCCUGCUGUCCUCUUUAGGAGGCACUGGGAACCUCUGCUCCCUGCUUUGUUGUGCUCUCAUUAUGUUUUUCUUACUGUGUCUCUAAUUGCAUCAGCUCGCCAUGCCUGCCUGUCACGCCAGCUCACUGACUUCUUUGGGAGGUGGCAGGAACCAAAGCACGGACCUUCCAUGUGGUAGGCCGGAGCCCAAUGGCUGGAGCCACAUCUGCUUCCCCAGGACUUUUUUGAAGUAAUGCCUCCAUAACUUAUUGAGUGACCUUUGGUCUGUUAUUUUAUUUUUUUAAAUUUGAAAUAAAGUUUGUUUGUUGUGUUUUUUUUUUUAAGAUUUAUUUAUUUAUUUAAUUCCCCCCUCUCCCCCGGUUGUCUGUUCUCUGUGUCUAUUUGCUGGUCUUGUUUCUUUGUCCGCUUCUGUUGUCGUCAGCGGCACGGUAAGUGUGGGCGGCGCCAUUCCUGGGCAGGCUGCACUUUCUUUCGCGCUGGGUGGCUCUCCUUACGGGUGCACUCCUUGCGCGUGGGGCUCCCCUACGCGGGGGACACCCUUGCGUGGCAGGGCACUCCUUGCGCGCAUCAGCACUGCACAUGGGCCAGCUCCACACGGGUCAAGGAGGCCCGGGGUUUGAACCACGGACCUCCCAUGUGGUAGACGAACGCCCUAACCACUGGGCCAAGUCCGUUUUCCCUGAAAUAAAGUUUUAGUAAUAAUAAUAAUAAAGGACUGUCCUCAUGUGUGGUGAGGAUUAAAUAAGGUUAUAUGGUUAACUGUGGCAGGUGUCAAGGAAGCCCUCA